rnacentral:rRNA from 1 species
CCUACGGGAGGCAGCAGUGGGGAAUAUUGCACAAUGGGCGCAAGCCUGAUGCAGCGACGCCGCGUGAGGGAUGACGGCCUUCGGGUUGUAAACCUCUUUCAGUAGGGAAGAAGCGAAAGUGACGGUACCUGCAGAAGAAGCGCCGGCUAACUACGUGCCAGCAGCCGCGGUAAUACGUAGGGCGCAAGCGUUAUCCGGAAUUAUUGGGCGUAAAGAGCUCGUAGGCGGUUUGUCGCGUCUGCCGUGAAAGUCCGGGGCUCAACUCCGGAUCUGCGGUGGGUACGGGCAGACUAGAGUGAUGUAGGGGAGACUGGAAUUCCUGGUGUAGCGGUGAAAUGCGCAGAUAUCAGGAGGAACACCGAUGGCGAAGGCAGGUCUCUGGGCAUUAACUGACGCUGAGGAGCGAAAGCAUGGGGAGCGAACAGGAUUAGAUACCCUGGUAGUCCAUGCCGUAAACGUUGGGCACUAGGUGUGGGGGACAUUCCACGUUUUCCGCGCCGUAGCUAACGCAUUAAGUGCCCCGCCUGGGGAGUACGGCCGCAAGGCUAAACUUAAUGAAUUGCGGCUGNGAGNGCGAGCGACGACGAGGGAGAG